rnacentral:rRNA from 1 species
GACGAACGCUGGCGGCGUGCCUAAUACAUGCAAGUCGAGCGGACGAAUCGAAAGCUUGCUUUUGAUUCGUUAGCGGCGGACGGGUGAGUAACACGUGGGCAACCUGCCCUGUAGACGGGGAUAACACCGAGAAAUCGGUGCUAAUACCGGAUAACACGAAAUGUCGCAUGACGUUUCGUUGAAAGACGGCGCAAGCUGUCGCUACAGGAUGGGCCCGCGGCGCAUUAGCUAGUUGGUGAGGUAACGGCUCACCAAGGCGACGAUGCGUAGCCGACCUGAGAGGGUGAUCGGCCACACUGGGGACUGAGACACGGGCCCAGACUCCUACGGGAGGCAGCAGUAGGGAAUCUUCCGCAAUGGACGAAAGUCUGACGGAGCAACGCCGCGUGAGCGAAGAAGGCCUUCGGGUCGUAAAGCUCUGUUGUUAGGGAAGAACAAGUAACGCAGUAACUGGCGUUACCGUGACGGUACCUAACGAGAAAGCCACGGCUAACUACGUGCCAGCC